AUUGAACGCUGGCGGCAUGCUUUACACAUGCAAGUCGAGCGCCCCGCAAGGGGAGCGGCAGACGGGUGAGUAACGCGUGGGAAUCUACCCAUCUCUACGGAAUAACUCAGGGAAACUUGUGCUAAUACCGUAUACGCCCUUUUGGGGAAAGAUUUAUCGGAGAUGGGUGAGCCCGCGUUGGAUUAGCUAGUUGGUGGGGUAAAGGCCCACCAAGGCGACGAUCCAUAGCUGGUCUGAGAGGAUGAUCAGCCACAUUGGGACUGAGACACGGCCCAAACUCCUACGGGAGGCAGCAGUGGGGAAUAUUGGACAAUGGGCGCAAGCCUGAUCCAGCCAUGCCGCGUGAGUGAUGAAGGCCCUAGGGUUGUAAAGCUCUUUCACCGGAGAAGAUAAUGACGGUAUCCGGAGAAGAAGCCCCGGCUAACUUCGUGCCAGCCGCCGCAGUAA
rnacentral:rRNA from 1 species